rnacentral:siRNA from 1 species
UUAGAAAAGUAUGGACUGGUGU